rnacentral:rRNA from 1 species
AUUGAACGCUGGCGGCAUGCCUUACACAUGCAAGUCGAACGGCAGCAUGAUCUAGCUUGCUAGAUUGAUGGCGAGUGGCGAACGGGUGAGUAAUGCAUCGGAACGUGCCCUGUAGUGGGGGAUAACUAGUCGAAAGAUUAGCUAAUACCGCAUACGACCUGAGGGUGAAAGUGGGGGACCGCAAGGCCUCAUGCUAUAGGAGCGGCCGAUGUCUGAUUAGCUAGUUGGUGAGGUAAAGGCUCACCAAGGCGACGAUCAGUAGCUGGUCUGAGAGGCCGAUCAGGCACACUGGGACUGGGACACGGCCGAGAGUCCUACGGGAGGCAGCAGUGGGGAAUUUUGGACAAUGGGGGCAACCCUGAUCCAGCAAUGCCGCGUGUGUGAAGAAGGCCUUCGGGUUGUAAAGCACUUUUGUCCGGAAAGAAAUCGCACUUACUAAUAUUGGGUGUGGAUGACGGUACCGGAAGAAUAAGGACCGGCUAACUACGUGCCAGCAGCCGCCGUAAUAC